ensembl:lncRNA GARS1-DT GARS1 divergent transcript
GCCGAAGGUUUUCUCCGGUUCGGGAGAGAGACGGAGUCCCGCUCUGUCACGCAGGCUGCCAGGCUGGCGUACAGUGGCGCAAUCUCAGCUCGCUGCAACCUCCACCUCCUGGGUUCAAGCGAUUUUCUUGCCUCUGCCUCCUGAGUAGCUGGGAUUACUGGCACACACCACCAUGCACAGGGAGAUAUGAGACAUCAAUCAAUAUAUGUAAGAUGUACAUCAGUUUCGUCUGGAAAGAUGGGACAACAUGAAGCAGGGAGGGGGCUCCCUGGUGACAGGUACAUUUGCAUUCUUUUGAGUUUCUAAUUAGCCUUUCACUGAUACAUACCUAUGACCUGGGUUUCCAGGUCAUAGGUACGACUGCAUUCUUUUGAGUUUCUAAUUAACCUUUCACUGAAUACAUAACUUACAGGAAUAGUCACUUAUGCCUUAGUCUGGCUUAGUGAAACAAUAGGGAAAAGGAAGCAAUUAGAUAUGCAUUUAUCUCACAUGAGCAAAAGGAUGACUUUGAGUUCUGUCUGUCUUUUGUCUACAGGGAAUUUUCUUGUGGGCAAAUUGUGAGGGAGGUAUGUAGCUUUUUUAUCUUUGUUGCUAUCUUGUUUAGGAGUACAAUGGGACGCAGGUUUGCCCCACAGUUCCCAGCUUGGCUUUUCCCUUUGGCUUAGUAAUUUUGGAGUCCUGAGAUUUAUUUUCCUCUCACAUCUCCCCGUUUUUCUUUUUAAAAUCUUUCAGAGACAGCAUUUUAGAAGAAAACAAGUCUCUGGUCUCAGGCUUUGUCUGAUCUCUCAUGGCUAGGAUAGUUUAUUCCUAGAUGGAUAAGUACCACGUUAUUUGGAAAGCUCAUUUUUAGUAGGUUAUGAAGUCUCAUGUCCUUUGAAGAGAAAAUAGGGGGAGGAAGGAAGAAAAACAACAACAAACAAACAAAAUGAAGAAGAAUCCUGGAAAAUCAAUAUAGGCCGUAUUACUCUGAAGUCCAUGUCAGUAGGCAGGUAUGAAAGUGGUUUAUGUGUGUAAAUAGGUUGCUAUUAUUUUCUUCUGAAGUUUACAUUGUCUAGCUUCAGUCUGUAGGGCUUUAAGAAAGACUGCUUAAUUUUAAGUGAUUUCAAAUCAGGAAAAAUGGGGUGGGGGGAAGUAAACGAAAGAAGAAAAAAAUUGAAAACAUUAUUUUGGAGACUUGUAGCCAGGAAAAAUUUUUGAAUUCAAUCUAAAUUGUAGAAAAUAAAAAAAACUGAAAAACAUUAGGCAAGACUAGAAUCUAAUAACAGGUGUACUAUAGUUUAUGUUGAAAUAUAAUUUUCCUCUCUCCAGUCUCAUUUUCACUAAAGACAAGUCAUAGGACAAAUUCAUUUGCAAAAUAAGUUGUAGUCUUAUUAUACUUGGCUGGAGUAUUUGCAUAAAGUCAGAAGAAUAAUUAUUUGCUAUAUAGGCUCCUCUUUUUUUUUAAUUGGCUUUGCUAGAACUUUAUUCCACUAAGAAUCUCAGAUUUAACUUUAAUGCAUUAAGCCUGGCCUGUGCCUGCAAAUCCUUGCGUUAGUUGAGUGAAUUCCUCACUUCAAGGUCCCAAGAAAACUUGGGGCUCCUGGGCCUGUCAGAAAGUGACAUUCUUUACUCACUACAGGUCACCCUGUUCCGGGACUGUGCAGACAAGGUAUGAGACCAGGUUUCUCAAGGAGUUUUUAUUGGCUCUAAAGUCAACUUUCAUUCUUUAAAGGAGUCUGUUUGUAUCUGAAAGCAUCCUAUUCCAGUCAAAACCUUGGUAAAAUAACCAGUGUCUCCAAUUGUGCCCUGUUACAAAGGAACAUUCUUGAGAAAGAAUCUUUCUCAGAGGAAAGAUUCUUAUUGCAUGUAUGCAAAUAACUAUAUUGCCAUAAGUUAAGAAUACUCACAACUAGUUUCUAAAUUUUGGAGAAAUCAGGUAGAGAGAAAUAUGCUCCAAAUUUUGUUUACAGAAAUAUACUUUACUCCAUUGUUAAAAGCUAUAAAUAGCUCAAAAGAAAAGUUUUCUUGGCUCUGAAAAACAAAGGGUCAGCAAUGUUUUAGGCAAAAAGUCAUAAAAGGACUAUUUCAGUUUUCUAUUAGUUCAGUCCAUGCAGUUAACUUCUUUUCUGCUUGAUAUUCAUGAACAUUUCAGCUCUCCACUGGAGUCUUGGAAGUUUUUCCUCUAUUCUAGUGUCACAGUCUCCAAAGUUAUUAGAAGCCUGCAUUCAAGAGCACCUGUCAGAGUCCCACAGCUGAUUAUAAAACCACCUUUUGAAUAGGAUAAAAGUAAAACAACUGUGGAUAACAAAAGUCUUAGAACAGUCAUAAAGACACAAUUGACAAAGAUAUUUGGUUACUUCUGUGGCAUACAACAAUUUUACAUAAUUAUAAUUACCACAAUUACAUAAUAAUAAUAAUUACCACUGAUAACAUAUGCCAAGUCAUAUCAGAAUCACAGGAAUUUCAUACAAUUCUCAAACAUAUACCAAUAACAUAUGUGCAUAAAUAUAAUCCAAAGAAGAUUAAACAUUGUUUUAUACUUGACAAUACUUCCUGUAUGAUUUUAUUAUAUCAAAUAAACCAAAUAUGUCUCUUUUGGACUUCAGGGGACUAAUAUCAAAAAAUUAAUGAGGACCAAAGUUAGAAUUUGAUUGUCGAAGGUUUGUCAAACAUAAAAAGUUUAAAACACUUAAUAUCACAAAGUAGGAUCACAGGUCAUUGUAAAGUCAUUCAUUUAGACAAAGCGAUAACUCAAAGAUUUUUUUUAAGGCGAAAACCUUUAUUCUUUGAGAGGAGACUUCAUUUCCCAAACAAUAAGCCUUAAUAAAGACAGGAUGAGGCCAAUUAAACUUGUUCUCCAAAAUUUUAUAAACAGCCUAUAAUAUUAAAUAGUUUAAUCAUCUUGACCAUAAGAUGUAAUUUCCAUAAGCCUUUUUUAUAACCUUUUAUUAAGGAGUGGGUUAACGCUCCAAGAAAACCUUGUUAAUCUGACUCAGAGGCCCAUAUGCUAGUCUUGCAUCAGUGCCUUCGACAUUAAUGGUUAAUUUAUAGAGAAACUAAACUUAUUUUAUCUCUCAAAAUUGACCCUUACAAUGUCACACACCCAUGUCUUCCAUGAUAGUUCCUGGGUCUUGAGGAGUUGAAUAGUUUUAAUUUCUGGCCCUGUGUCUCAUGAACACAGUUUAUUUUGAUUGGUAUCUUCUACAGGGUCUGAAGAUAAAGCUUUAACUGCUGUCAGUGUUUAAGAUUUAGCCGGACUUGGCAUCCUUUUUAGACCCAGGAGUCUAAACCCUGUAACUUGAUGGCACAAGGACUUUAAAAGCACAUACAGAAAGUUACACAGAUGUAAUAACCUUAAUGAAAAAUAGUUUUUCUUUUAAUCUCAGUUUUUUCUAAGCAGACCAAAACUUAGUAAUAAUGACAUAGGAAUUAUUUCAAUAUAAAGUGUAAAAUCUGUUUGUUAGGCCAGUUACCCAAAAGCAAAAGCAAAGAGCUUCUGCACUGCGACUGCUGUUCCCUGUGGAGAAUCCAUUUAGAUUAACUGCAAGUCAAAACUAAUUAAAGAGAUACUUGAAUUAGUUAUGAGAGGUGAAGCCAGCUGGGCUUCUGGGUCGGGUGGGGACUUGGAGAACUUUUCUGUCUAGCUAAAGGAUUGUAAACACACCAAUCAGCGCUCUGUGUCUACCUAAAGGUUUGUAAAUGCACCAAUCAGCACUCUGUAAAAACGCACCAAUCAGCGCUCUGUGUCUAGCUAAAAGUUUGUAAGCACAACAAUCAGCACUCGUAAAAACACACCAAUCAGUGCUCUGCAUCUAGCUAAAGGUUUGUAAACACACCAAUCAGCACUCUGUAAAAACGCACC